GAUGAACGCUGGCGGCGUGCCUAAUACAUGCAAGUCGAGCGAACAGACGAGGAGCUUGCUCCUCUGACGUUAGCGGCGGACGGGUGAGUAACACGUGGAUAACCUACCUAUAAGACUGGGAUAACUUCGGGAAACCGGAGCUAAUACCGGAUAAUAUAUUGAACCGCAUGGUUCAAUAGUGAAAGACGGUUUUGCUUUCACUUAUAGAUGGAUCCGCGCCGCAUUAGCUAGUUGGUAAGGUAACGGCUUACCAAUGCAACGAUGCGUAGCCGACCUGAUAGGGUGAUCGGCCACACUAGAACUGAGACGAGGUCCAGACUCCUACGGGAGGCAGCAGUAGGGAAUCUUCCGCAAUGGGCGAAAGCCUGACGGAGCAACGCCGCGUGAGUGAUGAAGGUCUUCGGAUCGUAAAACUCUGUUAUUAGGGAAGAACAAAUGUGUAAGUAACUAUGCACGUCUUGACGGUACCUAAUCAGAAAGCCACGGCUAACUACGUG
rnacentral:rRNA from 1 species